ACUGGAAGGUUGGCAUCUUCUGUAAUCGCGCUUCUGCGAAGUCGGAUUGUGGGAUGGUCUGAGGCUGGGGGUUCUGUGUGAUGGAUUUCCUAACGUUGACGGAACGUCCGCACUAAGCUUGCCGUCAAUAUGGGUGCCAUGGAGGAGUCCAAGGCAUUCAGGUUGGCUAAGGAGGGGUGUACCGGGCCAGGGGUGAAAACCAGCAGCCAAGAGUCCCCGCGGUAAGCAGUAGUGGGAUAGCGUACCGGAGUGUGGUGCCACUGCCAGCCCAGCCAAUAUGGUUGGACCUUAAUCUUU
rfam:Stomoxys calcitrans breed 8C7A2A5H3J4 unplaced genomic scaffold Scaffold1110, whole genome shotgun sequence.